GGAAGGUCCCGUGGCUUAGGGAUAAGAGCAUCUGCUUUGCAUGCAGAAGGUCCCGGGUUCAAUCCCCAGCGUCUCCA